rnacentral:rRNA from 1 species
UAGGGAAUCUUCCGCAAUGGGCGAAAGCUUGACGGAGCAACGCCGCGUGAGUGAUGAAGGUCUUCGGAUCGUAAAACUCUGUUAUUAGGGAAGAACAAAUGUGUAAGUAACUAUGCACGUCUUGACGGUACCUAAUCAGAAAGCCACGGCUAACUACGUGCCAGCAGCCGCGGUAAUACGUAGGUGGCAAGCGUUAUCCGGAAUUAUUGGGCGUAAAGCGCGCGUAGGCGGUUUUUUAAGUCUGAUGUGAAAGCCCACGGCUCAACCGUGGAGGGUCAUUAGAAACUGGAAAACUUGAGUGCAGAAGAGGAAAGUGGAAUUCCAUGUGUAGCGGUGAAAUGCGCAGAGAUAUGGAGGAACACCAGUGGCGAAGGCGACUUUCUGGUCUGUAACUGACGCUGAUGUGCGAAAGCGGGGGGAUCAAACAGG